CCCUUAGAUGUUCUGGGCCGCACGCGCGCUACACUGACGAAGUCAGCGAGCAUGUCCUACGCCGACAGGUGCGGGGAAUCUUGUCAAACUUCGUCGUGAUGGGGAUUGAUUAUUGAAAUUCUUGAUCAUCAACGAGGAAUUCCUAGUAAGCGCAAGUCAGCAGCUUGCGUUGAUUACGUCCCUGCCCUUUGUACACACCGCCCGUCGCUACUACCGAUUGAAUGGUUUAGUGAGAUCUUCGGAUUGGCGCCACUGCGGCUCAUCAAUGGGCUCGGUGGAUGCCGAAAAGUUGAUCAAACUUGAUCAUUUAGAGGAAGUAAAAGUCGUAACA
rnacentral:rRNA from 1 species